UGUGUUACUUUAUGUAAGCUUAGUACACAUUAUUUUAAUUUUUCUGAGUUAAAAUGUUUUUAUUUUGAUAAAAUAUAUAUGACAGGAUUUACCGUUUUAACCAUUUUUGAGUGUACAACUCAAUGGCGUUAGUACUUCCAUAUUGUUGCCUAACUGUUGCCACUGUCUCCAGAAUUUUUUUUACUAUUUUUUUUUUUUAUUAUUAUUUUCCCACUGUACAGCAAGGGGGUCAGGUCAUCCUUAGAUGUAUACAUUGCAGUUACAGUUUUUCCCCCACCCUUUCUUCUGUUGCGACAUGAGUAUCUAGACAUAGUUCUCAAUGCCAGAAUUUUUUUUAAUCAUCCCAAACGGAAACUCUGUAUGCAUUAAGCAAUGACUCCCCAUUCCCUGCUCUCCUCAGCCCCAUAACUUCUUCUUCUUUUUUUUUUUUUUUUUUUUUUUUUUUUUUUUGCUUUUUAUGACUGUACCCACGGCGUAUGGAGGGGUCCAAUCAGAGCUGCAGCUGCUGGUCAAUGCCAUGGCCACUGCAAUGCCAGAUCCAAGCCUCGCCUGUGACCUACAGCACAGCUCACGGCACCGCUGAAUCCUUAACCCAUUGAGCGAGGCCAGGGAUCGAACCCGCAGCUUCAUGGUUCCUAGAUGGAUUCGUUUCCCCUGUGCCAUGAUGGGAACUCCAACCCUCAUAACUUCUGUUCUGCUUUCUGUCCCAAUGAAUUUAUUAAUUUUCAAUAUCUUACAUAGUUGGAAUCAUACAAUACCUGUCCUUUUUUUUUUUUUUUUUUUCCUUUGGCUGCACCUAGAGCAUGUGGAAGUUUGAUCCCUGGCCUUGCUCAGUGGGUUAAGGAUCCAGCGUUGUCUUGAACUGUGGUUUAGGUCGCAGAUGCGGUUUGAAUCUGGUGUUGCUGUGGCUGUGACAUAGGCCAGCAGCUACAGCUCUUAUUCAACCCCUAGCCUGGGAAUCUCCGUAUGUCACAGUGUGGCCCUAAAAAGCCAAAAAAAAAAAAAAAAAA
rnacentral:lncRNA from 1 species